rnacentral:rRNA from 1 species
UACAGAGGGUGCAAGCGUUGUUCGGAAUUAUUGGGCGUAAAGGGCGCGUAGGCGGUUCGGCAAGUCUCUAGUGAAAUCUCUGGGCUCAACUCAGAGUCUGCUGGGGAAACUGCCGGGCUUGAGUGUGGGAGAGGAGAGUGGAAUUCCCGGUGUAGCGGUGAAAUGCGUAGAUAUCAGGAAGAACACCAACGGCGAAGGCAGCUCGCUGGGACGGAACUGACGCUGAGGCGCGAAAGCGUGGGGAGCGAACAGG